rnacentral:rRNA from 1 species
UCUCAGUUCGGAUUGCAGGCUGCAACUCGCCUGUAUGAAGUCGGAAUUGCUAGUAAUCGCGGAUCAGCAUGCCGCGGUGAAUACGUUCCCGGGCCUUGUACACACCGCCCGUCACACCAUGGGAGCCGGUAAUACCCGAAGUCAGUAGUCCAACCUCGUGAGGACGCUGCCGAAGGUAGGAUUGGCGACUGGGGUGAAGUCGUAACAAGGUACC